rnacentral:rRNA from 1 species
CCUACGGGAGGCAGCAGUGGGGGAUAUUGCACAAUGGGGGGAACCCUGAUGCAGCGACGCCGCGUGGGUGAAGAAGCGCCUCGGCGCGUAAAGCCCUGUCAGCAGGGAAGAAAAUGACGGUACCUGAAGAAUAAGCCCUGGCUAACUACGUGCCAGCAGCCGCGGGAAUACGUAGGGGGCAAGAGGUAUCCGGAUUUACUGGGGGUAAAGGGGGCGCAGACGGGGAUGCAAGCCAGGAGUGAAAGCCCGGGGCCCAACCCCGGGACUGCUCUUGGAACGGCGUGGCUGGAGUGCAGGAGGGGCAGGCGGAAUGCCUGGUGUAGCGGUGAAAUGCGUAGAUAUCAGGAGGAACACCGGUGGCGAAGGUGGCCUGCUGGACUGCAACUGACGUUGAGGCCCGAAAGCGUGGGGAGCAAACAGGAUUAGAUACCCCUGUAGUA